AUGCUAUAGCUUCGACAGCACAUAUACUAAAAUUGGAACGAUACAGAGAAAAUUAGCAUGGUCCCUGCGCAAGGAAGACAUGCAAAUUCGGGAAGCGUUCUAUAUUUUU